rnacentral:lncRNA from 1 species
CUUUAUUAUUAGAUUCAUGCCACUUAAUGUGGCCAGUGACGCCCUUCCUGAGCUGGCCUCAGCUCAUUCCUCCCUCUCCUCCCCAGCCACACCCCACUUGAUCUCUAUGCCCAGUGACAAGCUCUCUUUUGCUGUUCCUCCCCUCACCCAACCUCUUGUCCUGGUUAAAUUCUAGUCAUAUUUUAAGGCUCAUCUUCUCCUCUAGCGAGUUUUCAUUGUAACCUCAAAAUUAGAUUAUGUGCCCCUUUUUGUGCCCUUAUAGUGCCCAAAGUGUCCUAUCACGGGAGAGUUCACAGUGCACUGAAAUAAACUCUUUUAUUUUCUGUCUCCCCAGGACCAGCUGUAUCUACAGUACCUAGAACCAUGCCUGGCAUACAGUAGGCACCCAAUACAUAUUUGAUGGAUGAAUUAAGGAAUGAAUGAAUGAAUGAAUGAAUGAAAAGUAAAUUAAUGAACGAAAAAACUAAACAAUAAGGCAACUGUAUUAGCCCGUUUUCACACUGCCGAUAAAGACAUACCCGAGACUGGGCGAUUUACAAAGGAAGAAGUUUAUUGGACUUACAGUUCCACGUGGCUGGGGAGGCCUCACAAUCAUGGUGGAAGGUGAAAGGUACGUCUCACAUGGCGGCAGACAAGAGAAGAGAACUAUUGCAGGGAAAUUUACGUUUUUAAAACCAUCAGGUCUCGUGAGACUUAUUCACUAUCAUGAGAACAGCACAGGAGAGACCUGCCCCCAUGAUUCAAGUACCUCCCACCGGGUCCCUCCCACAACAUAUGGGAAUUCAAGAUGAGAUUUGGGUGGGGACACAGCCAGACCAUAUCAGCAACUAAGGCUUAGAGCGGUUGGGUAAUUUGCUCAAGGUCUCAAGGACGAUAAAUGAUGACUUUUGAACAUGGGUCCUUUGGCUCAAGAACCCAUGUGGUUUUUGUUUUCUUCUAUUUCACUUGGUUUAUGCCUAAUGGCCCAUGUUUUAUCAGGAAGGUGUGAAUAAAGACAUGUCCUAGCCAGGAGGUGCUAGGGCUGAAGGUUUGAGGGAAAGUAGUAGAAAAGGUUUCAAACAGCUGCUUUGAGUGCCUGCUAAUGGCAGAUUAUGGAAGCCCAAUGUUGAGGGUCUAGUAAGGGUAGGUUAUGGAAGCCUGACACGGGUGUCUUGGAGCUCUCUCCCUGGGACUCCUGUGCUUGUGGUGCUGUAGAACCAAGUGUUGGCACACAGUCAGCAAUCCCAGCUGAGCCUUGCCUUGCAGCCAUCCCCACUGAGGUGCUAGACUUACAAGGGAAGCUGUCCUGGACCCUCCAGACCAGUCCAUCUGCCAGCCGAAUACAACACCACCACCUCAGCCAGCACUACAUGGAACAGAACAAUGGAGCAGCUGAGCCCUGCCCAAACUCCUCACCCACAAAAGCACAAAGAGUAAAAAUGGCUGUUGUUUUAAGCCGGUCAGUUUUGGGGUAAUUUGACACAUGGCAACAGAUAACCAGAAUAUACCACAAGUUCAUUUUGUAGCUUCCUUCUCUUCAUGGUGCCAGACAAAUCAUAGCCAAUGGCCAGGCUAACAACCAGUCACAAGAAAACAAACUCUCCCCUCUUGCACAUGGCAAUUCACACACAAAAACAAUUACAGUGAUUUUGCAUUUCUUACAAAUAGCCUAUCCAUGGGCCGAUUCGAAAUGUUGCCCAUAAAACCAUUUUUCCUUUGCAGGUUAUAAACACUGAUAAAAAGGAAACAUGUCCUCUCCGUGCAGACUGAGCCGACAGGACGGACAUUCUUUUGAUCAUUUUACCAUUUUCAUGUUUGACACACAACAGCUUUUUCACUGUUCAACCCAAAUUUGAAGAGGAAACAAGAUAACAUCUGUUUCCUUCACCAUCCUUCCAUGCAUUUCAUAGCACCCAGAUAUAUAGGUGCUUUGCUCACAGGGAUCACGCUAUUCAAGUUCACCUUCUGAUGAUUCUGAGAUGAAAAUGGCAUUUGCUAUAGAUCCCUCUCACAGGGUAGGCCGGGAAUGCAGACUAGCUAAGUAGGGAGUGGGAGGCAAUUACUCUAACCUCAGUGGACAAAACAGUUCCCCAAACUGCAGAAUUAGCAGAGCACAAACGCUGCAGCUGUUUGCAAAGGCACCCGCGGUAUUUCUGACAUGGCAAAUCAUGCUGGUGAUGUCAGACUCUUUUCUUAAACAAAAGUGAAAUGUGAGAAGGUGAAAAUACGUGACUGCUGGAAGAUGUUUUUCCUUGUUUGGGGACUGCAUUCGCAAAUGACUCUUGUCCAGGACCCUGGGUUUUCCCCAGGUCUUUUAAAGGUCUACAUUCCUUUAGAAUCCUUCACUAAACCUACCAGUUGGCUCCCUAACUUCCCGGUUAUCUCACCGCUCUGUCAUGCAAGUCACUGAGCAGGGAAAGUGACUCAUAGGCUCUAAAGAAAACCUAAUUCAUUGAAUUAAACAUUGGAAAGAAUCUAAGUGAGUCACUGUAUCCUUCGCUUGGUCUUUAGGCAGCACCACACCUUGAUCAUUCCAGCCAGAAGGGAGGUAAUCAUAUUUUUAAAAAGCUGCUUGGAGAAGGAUUAUUUACAACGAUAAUAAAUCCCAUUUCUAUAUAUACCUAUAUUCCGAAAACAACAGCAAAGGCACUGCAAAAUUAAACCCCAAAAUACAAACUGAAGAGCAGAAAUAUGCAAAGCCUUGAGCCUAGCUCACACCGCUUCUGUGCAAAUUAGAAAAAGGUGGCCCCCCAGGUUGAAGGAAUUAGGAAAAAGCACCCACUUGGGGCAGCAGCUGCUGACAGCCAUGUUUGGGGGCCUGAGAACAAAUUCCAGGACCUUGUGCAGUGGCGUGAGAAGAAGGACAUGGAACUUUUUAUGACUCCCCCUCCCCAUUUUCCUGGUAAAAUCUUUU